AGCGAUUUAAAUUCGCAAUGGCGGAAAAAUAACGAUACGGUUUAAAACAGUGGUGUACUAUUGACGUUUUCCUCUGGUCAAAUCCAAAGUGUUUUACCGAAGUGUACUGUUAUAGCGGACCGAUUACCGGAUUCAAUAAUAAAAAACAGUAGCCCGAUCACGGGGUCUACCUGUUGUAAAUUUAAAUGUUUAGUGGUCCGAUUGCCGUAUAUAUUUUUGAAAAAAAUUCUCGUCGCGG